rnacentral:snRNA from 1 species
AUCUUUGCGCAGCGGCAGUACCUUAUCCAAUGAGCGUUUCGCGAGGAGAGGUUAUUGCUAGUUGAAAACUAAAACCCAAUAUCCCGCACGUCGGCCUUGUGUCGAUUGUUGCAAUUUUUGCUGCUUCUUCGGAGG